UUGGGCUUACAGAAUUGUUCGUUGUAUAAAGAAAAUUUUAAAUGUUGUUGCAAACUAACGAGUUACACCAUUUUUAAAAUUUCUUUCUCUCCUUUCCCCUCUUUUGCCCACAAAUGGUAUUAUAAUGCUUGCUUAGUCAAAGAAGAGAGACUAAACAAGGGUAAAAAUUUUAACAGUGCAGAAUUUGCCAUCAUUUCAUUGCCUUGAUUCUAACUGUUUGUGUCCUAAGAUGCAAAAGAAGUCAGUGGCUUUUAACUGUUUACAAAUAGAAUGUGAUUGUAAAAUGUACAGUUUGGUUGUGUUUGAAUUAUGAAAUUUCUUCAGAUAUAAUAAACCAUGACUUUUUGGCUGCUCAACAUUAAUUGUCUCUUUUUUGUGAAUUUAUUUGUACGCUCUUUUUUAUAAUGAAAGUUUCAAAGUUGCUAUGUAUGAGGGUUCUCAUAGAGCAACUGGUAAAAAUCUAAGCAAAUAUUUGAAUAUUUUAUCCGAACUCGUACACAAUUUCACCCUGAAAUAAUGUGAGAACAGUGGGAAACUGUCGCUUGCUCCUUCCGGCCCUCUGAGCAUCUUUGGGAUCUUGUCGCUCACAACUCUUCUGUGACUCAUCUUCCCCACCAUUUGUGCCCAUCUCAAGCCUCAGCAAGAGACCAUUUGGAACAUGAAGCUUAAUGACUUGACAGUGUUCUAGUGUUAAACUCUCAUACCUCUGUUACACAACGAGAAAUGCCACAGCCUGGACUGGCCUUUUUCUUCCCCCUUCACGGCCCUCCUCCCUCCUCACUGCAGGAGCUCCGGGGCAGAACCUGUGUACGUAUUUCAGUGUAUGACUUCAGAUCAUGCUCCAACUUGCCAGGUGUAAGCUAAUGUUGGUGGACACCUUAAUAUAAGCAAAUGUUGUUCAAUGCAUUCAAUGUAUAUUGACUUCCAUACUGGUUUUUCCAAAAACCAAAGGUAGCUUUGAAAAACCACGUCUGGAAAUGUUUGGAACGUUAAGCUGAUGGACCUUUUGGGGCUUUGAGUAGUAUAUAAUUGACUUCAUAACUGCGUUAAUUGUAUUGUUAAAGUGGGAGUUUUUUGCGCUUGUUAUGUGAAAAUAAAGUGUUUGAUUU
rnacentral:lncRNA from 1 species